rnacentral:ncRNA from 1 species
AGGAGCCGUGCGAGAUGAAAGUCUCAUGCACGGUUUUGAAUGAGAGAAAGAAGUGAGUUAAUAUAGAAAAAUUUGGGAAAUUUUUCAGAAAACCCUAAAUUUCCAAAAAAGGAAAUCAGGAUCUGAGUUUUCUCUCUCU